UACAGAGGUGGCAAGCGUUGUUCGGAAUUACUGGGCGUAAAGGGCGCGUAGGCGGCCUUCUAAGUCGGACGUGAAAGCCCCAGGCUUAACCUGGGAACUGCGUCCGAUACUGGAAGGCUUGGAUUCGGGAGAGGGAUGUGGAAUUCCAGGUGUAGCGGUGAAAUGCGUAGAGAUCUGGAGGAACACCGGUGGCGAAGGCGGCAUCCUGGACCGACAUCGACGAUGAGGCGCGAAAGAUAGGGGAGCAAACGGG
rnacentral:rRNA from 1 species